rnacentral:rRNA from 1 species
GACGAACGCUGGCGGCGUGCUUAACACAUGCAAGUCGAGCGGUAAGGCCCUUUCGGGGGUACACGAGCGGCGAACGGGUGAGUAACACGUGGGUGACCUGCCCUCAGCUCUGGGAUAAGCCUGGGAAACCGGGUCUAAUACCGGAUAUGACUCCAUGACGCAUGUUGUGGGGUGGAAAGCCUUGUGCGGCUGAGGAUGGGCCCGCGGCCUAUCAGCUUGUUGGUGGGGUGAUGGCCUACCAAGGCGACGACGGGUAGCCGGCCUGAAAGGGCGACCGGCCACACUGGGACUGAGACACGGCCCAGACUCCUACGGGAGGCAGCAGUGGGGAAUCUUGCGCAAUGGGCGAAAGCCUGACGCAGCGACGCCGCGUGAGGGAUGACGGCCUCGG